UAACGGCACAUAAAUACACACUUUGUGCACCAGACUUAAGUAGGCCAAAUGUCAAAUAAACUGUAUGAAUGCAACACUGCUAAAAGCUUCCAAGGAAGUUGUACAUUAUUGAUGUUAAAAGGGGUUACUUUUCGUGGAAAAAUACGCACUGAACACUGCACUCCUUUUGCCAUUCUCCUGUCUCGCUGUUUUAACACUACUUUAUUCUCCUAAACCUUGCAGAAGAUGCGAUCCUGCAUUAUCUACAACGUCGUUCAACGCACUCAGUAAACGAGACGAUGAAUCGCCGGCAAAGGCGACAGAUUGGGUCAGGUGGUCGAGGUCUCGGAAUGGGUGGUGCACCCGGGAUGGGAGCUCAGGGGAACGGACCUAGACAACAAAACGGCAUGAACGGACCUGGACAAAUGGGUGGUCAAGGCGGAAUGGGGAUGGGUAUGGGUGUGGGAAUGAAUGGACGCGGACCGAUGGGCGGACAAGGAGGAAUGGGCAUGCCAAACGGACAAGGAAGAAUGGGAAUGCCGAAUGGACAAGGUGGGAUGGGCAUGCCGAAUGGUCCCGCGGUCCCAUGGGAGGACCGGGCGGUAUGGGGAUGAAUGGAGCACCUCGAGGUCCCGGUAUGAGUAUGCAAGGUGGGAAUGGAAAUUUCGGCAGGGGAAUGAACGGCACCAAUGGUUAUGCUCCCUGGUAUGGAUAUGGCGGCAGCAAUAACAACCCCAAUGGACCAAUGAACCAAUGGAACGGGGCUGGUGGUGGAAACGGUUUCGGCAGCGGUCCCAAUGGCAAUUUUCCCAAUAGGCAGCAGUUUGGUGGCCCCCCCUCAGUUUGGCAGAACUCUAAUGCGAUGGGUCAACAAAAUUUCGGCUUUUACAACGUCUCCACCACCACGCAAUCCAGUUGGUUCUAAAACUGAAUAGUUAGCUGAACAACAACUGCAUAUAGAUAUGUCUGAAUUUGCACGAACAUACUUGAAUAAAUAUUGAAAAUGUUGCACUGCUCUCAGCUCUUUUAUCUUUUGCUUGGAAAAUUAAUUUUGCGAGAAAUUCAAAUCUUUUGAUUUCGGAAUUCGGAAAUUUGUUGUAGCUCAUGCAUUUCUUCCACUGCUAAUUGAAUUUCUCAAAUGUAUUUGAUGGUACUGUUAUUCAGAUUUGCAACUUUCUACAUUUUGUUGUUGCUUGAACUCUCGUUUACUGUUGUGUGGGCGUGUGGUCUUAGAAGUAUUUGCAUUUCUCUAUUUGUUCAACUCACAAAGGAAACGCAAUUAAAUUGUGCACACAUUCGUAAUCGAUUUUCGAGAAUUUCUUCCACUUGCUUGGAGAGAUAUUUAAUUCUAGCGCAGCAGAUUCCUUUUGCAUACCGUUAGGAUUGCACUGCUUUGUUUUCACCUAGAAAAUGCAAAUUAGGGUAUAUUUGUAUGAAAUCAAAACUGCAGUUGCCGAAAAUAUGAAAUUCGUAAGCAUCGUAAUAUUUACAGUACUCAAAAUUCUGCAGAAAAUUGCUUUGGCGUCUGUGGGGUCUUUGAGUUGCCCUUAUUACGGAUUUGAGUCCAAAAAUUUUCCAUUACGUGCAGCUAUUUUUGUGAAUUUUGUAAGUAGUACUGGUUUGACUCCUCCACCUCUUGCCUACAACAAAAAACUCCUUCGUGUUAGGAAGUGUUUACUAUCAUAAUUUCUCAAAAUUAGUCAGAACAGCCUCUAACAUAGUCUUCUUCAUCUUUAGUGGUGUAGACAACGCUUACGCGCUUAUAGUCCUUAACAUCACAGUCGCAAAAUGACUGCGAACGAGUGUUAUUUUUGAAAAAUUUCAGGGGGCUCCUAGAGGUAUACUUACUAUAGGAAACGUGCUUUAUGAAACGUAUGAUCUUAUAAGCAUUUCAAGGUAUUAGGUAAGCGUUUUGGUUGCGCUAGUCUGAAACUCUCAAUAUGGUUUCACUCUUGUAAAUCAACUGCAAAUUUUGGACUAUUCUUUUGGUGAAAUAUUAAACUGCUAGCAUACCUUUGUGCGCUGCUCUUUUUCGCAGAUUUUCAAAGUAUUUCAAAAAUGUUUUCAACAGCUGAAUAAAUAAGCGUACAUACUGGAAAUACGGUAACCGUGUUUAAAUUAUUACCAAUUUUUUUACUGAAAAAAGCUUUCACAACGGAAGUUUUUGCACGCGAUUUCCAGAAAAUUUUCGAAUAUAUUUUGAACACAACGAAUUUUUCAGCGAAAAUCAAAAGCAAAAAAGUCUUAUUUUAAGUGAAAAAGAAAAAUUUUCAAAUAAAAAGCAAAAAGGUAGUUGAAUAAAUAAGUAAUAAUAAUAGAAUUCAACUUUGUAUAGUUAAUUUAGGCAAAUAAUAAUAAUUAUAUACAAGAAUUUGUAUUUAGAAAAGUAAUGCCAAAUGUCUUAAACGAAAAACUCUUUUAUUUUUCAGCAAGAAAUACAAAAUCUCCAUACAAAAAAUAUUAUUUU